AUUGAACGAGGCGGCAUUGCUUCACACAUCCAAGUCGGCAGGCAGCAACAGAGAAGCUUGCCCCAUGGGUGGCCAGUGGCGAACGGGUGAGUAAUAUAUCGGAACGUACCGAGUAAUGGGGGAUAACUAAUCGAAAGAUUAGCUAAUACCGCAUAUUCUCUGAGGAGGAAAGCAGGGGACCUAAGGGCCUUGCGUUAUUCGAGCGGCCGCUAUCUGAUUAGCUAGUUGGUGGGGUAAAGGCCUACCAAGGCGACGAUCAGUAGCGGGUCUGAGAGGAUGAUCCGCCACACUGGGACUGAGACACGGCCCAGACUCCUACGGGAGGCAGCAGUGGGGAAUUUUGGACAAUGGGCGCAAGCCUGAUCCAGCCAUGCCGCGUGUCUGAAGAAGGCCUUCGGGUUGUAAAGGACUUUUGUCAGGGAAGAAAAGGCUGUUGCUAAUACCGACAGCUGAUGACGGUACCUGAAGAAUAAGCACCGGCUAACUACGUGCCAGCAGCCGCGGUAAUACGUAGGGUGCGAGCGUUAAUCGGAAUUACUGGGCGUAAAGCGAGCGCAGACGGUUACUUAAGCAGGAUGUGAAAUCCCCGGGCUCAACCUGGGAACUGCGUUCUGAACUGGGUGACUAGAGUGUGUCAGAGGGAGGUAGAAUUCCACGUGUAGCAGUGAAAUGCGUAGAGAUGUGGAGGAAUACCGAUGGCGAAGGCAGCCUCCUGGGAUAACACUGACGUUCAUGCUCGAAAGCGUGGGUAGCAAACAGG
rnacentral:rRNA from 1 species